rnacentral:rRNA from 1 species
UAGGGAAUUUUGCGCAAUGGGCGAAAGCCUGACGCAGCAACGCCGCGUGAUUGAUGACGCCCUUCGGGGUGUAAAGAUCUGUCAGUGGGGACGAAAAAUGACGGUACCCACAGAGGAAGCACCGGCUAACUCCGUGCCAGCAGCCGCGGUAAUACGGAGGGUGCAAGCGUUGUCCGGAAUCAUUGGGCGUAAAGAGUUCGUAGGUGGCCUGUUAAGUCAGGUGUUAAAGGUCGAGGCUCAACCUCGGUAUGGCACUUGAUACUGGCAAGCUUGAAUUCGGUAGAGGUAAAGGGAAUUCCUGGU